AGCUUUCUGAAUCCGUGCUGAGAUUUCGUCAGAAGCCAACCCAUUUGGGCUGGUCAGACUUCCAAGAUAAGUAGAGUU
rfam:Schistosoma mattheei strain Denwood, Zambia genome assembly, scaffold: SMTD_scaffold0007258